CGGGUGAGUAAUGUCUGGGAAACUGCCCGAUGGAGGGGGAUAACUACUGGAAACGGUAGCUAAUACCGCAUAACGUCGCAAGACCAAAGAGGGGGACCUUCGGGCCUCUUGCCAUCGGAUGUGCCCAGAUGGGAUUAGCUAGUAGGUGGGGUAACAGCUCACCUAGGCGACGAUCCCUAGCUGGUCUGAGAGGAUGACCAGCCACACUGGAGCUGAGACACGGUCCAG
rnacentral:rRNA from 1 species